CUACCAUGGUUUUGACGGGUCAACGGGGAAUUAGGGUUCUAUUCCGGAGAGGGAGCCUGAGAAACGGUACCACAUCCAAGGAAGGCAGCAGGCGCGCAAAAUUACCCAAUCCCAAUACGGGGAGGUAGUGACAAUUAAAUCACUGAUACAGGGCUCUUUUGGGUC
rnacentral:rRNA from 1 species